UCACCCCCAUAAGCCUGAUUCUGCACCUCCAGCCUGAUCCCCCCUCCUCCCUCCUUCCCCCCAGCUCUGACCCCAACCAUCUCCCACUGCCCCCCAUCCUGGCGCUGGGAGCUUGGGGUGCAUCCCCCAGGAGUGGCCCCGGGGCUCUGCCAUGGGCAUCCGCUCUGGCUGCUCCUGCUGCCUCGGCUCCCACAGCCCAGGGGCGAGUGGAAUUGUACGAGGGACAGGCUGAGAGAGAUGGGGUUGUUCAGCCUGGAGAAGAGAAGGCUCCGAGGAGACCUUAUAGCAAUCUUCCAGUACCAGAAGGGGCUCCAAGAAACUGGGUGAGGAGCUAUUUACAAAGGCUUGUAGUAACAGGACUAGAAAUAAGGAAGAAUAUCUUCACCAUGAGAGUGGUGAGGCCCUGGCCCAGGUUGCCCAGGGCAGUGGUGGCUGCCCCAUCCCUGGAGGGAUUCCAGGCCAGGUUGGAUGGGGCUUGGAGCCCCUGAUCCAGUGGGAGGUGUCCCUGUUCAUGGCAGGGACAUUGGAACUAGAUGAUGUUUAAUGUCCCUUCCAACCUAAACUGUUCUAUGAUUCUAUGAUUUUUUCCUCCCCCAAGAGCUUUCCCUUGGAGCUGGAGCUGGCACUCAGGACCUGAGCUGCUCCCAGUGCUGUGCCUGCUGAGCAGGACCACGAUGGGGAGCUGCGCCUGUGCCCAGAUCUGUUGCGGCUCUGCUGGAGUGAGGAGCAGUGUGUGUGUGUGCAGCCCUCCUGAGCCGAAGGCUGCGAGGAGAAAGGCUCCUACCUGGGAGCCGAGGGCCUGCCCGAACUCCUGGUGGAGUGGGGGCUGCCAAGAAGCAGCGGGGCCGUGCAAGAGGUAGGAAGUGGGGAACGCCUGCUCAGGGUGUCAGGUUGAGGUGAGAGCAGGGCUGUGAUCAAACACAAUCUGCAGGGUGAGCUGCCACUGGCGUUCUGGGGCAACUGAAGUUUGUCUUUUUUCCUCCCCCAGGAACUCCUGCUUAGAGCUGGUGAUGAGGAACUCGGUUGCUCCGGCUGCAGCAUCUGAUGUGGAGAUGUGUUUGUGCCCUGUCCACAGCCCUGUCCCAGCUCUGCUCUGCUUCUGCUUGGACAGACUGCACUGCUGGAGUAGAAGAAAAGCAUCAGUGUGGGAAGCCCUCCUGAGCUAAGAGUGCGAGCAAAAAGGCUUCCCACACUGGAUGUCAAGGGAAGGGCCCCUACUUCUUGCAGAGCGGGCACUGCAAUGGGGUGAUGCUUCCCCAGGACUCGACCUGCAUGUCCGAGGCCUUCAGUCUAGGUGCUCAGCAGCUCAGCAGGAGACAGAGGGCCCUCUCCAUGCACCCUGGCUCUAAAGGGGAGCCCUUUAGAGGGCCCAGGCUGCUGCUCUCUGGCUGCUGCCAGGACAGCCCAGGCUCUGGUAAGGGUGUCCACUCUGGCUGCUCCUGCUGCCUCGGCUCCUGCAGCCUGGGAGCAACUGGAAUUUGUCUUUUUCCUUCCCCAGAAACUUUGGUUUGGAGGUGGACAUGGUGCUGAGCAGGUCACCAACAGCUGCUGCUUGGCUGGGAGAGCAGUCAAGCUCCCCACACAGCUAUUUCUCCUCACUCCAGUAGUGCAGUCUGUCUGCAAAACCAGCCCUGGGCCCAGCGCACGAGCGCAGCUUCACAUCAGAUGCUGCACUGAGAUUGGCUAAUGAGAAUUGAUGUGUGCAGCACUGGGGGGAAAUGGGGCAAAGGGCACUGUGGAACCCACUUUGAACAGCAUUGGCAGGGCCACCAAUAAACCUCCGAUAGAAACAGAACCGCUUGGUUAUUGUUCCAUCUCAUCGGGGUAGAUUUUCUAUCAAUAGAAUAAAGCUUUUUGUCCUUUCUUAUUGGCUUUGCCUCUUGUUGAUGCUGCAAAAAGCGGGGAGCAUAGGGAACACCUCCCUGGCUGGUUUGGGAGUGUGGAUGGGAGAGAUGGAGGGCCGGAUCCUUCCUCCCAGGGUUUGUGGAGCAUCGUGCCCCAAGAGGGGGUAGGACCGAGCACUUUGGCUCUGGGAGGUGUACUUCUCCAUUUACUCUAUAGGAGCUGUAGUGGAAACCUGGACCUUGGGCUCAGGAACGUUGAUGGGGAAGGUGAUGUUGGGCAAGAAUUUGGCUCAUUCUCUGUUUUGUUGGUUGGGUGAAGGAAACUGAGGACAGAGAGAGAAAUAAUAGAUGGGAGGGCACAGCGUUCACUGUCCCCUCUUCAGCCAAGACCUGGGGUGGAGGUGGCUGUGGGGAGGGGAGCUGUGCUCACAUCCACUCUGAUCUGCGCGCUGCAGCCAGGGGUGCUGACUCCCAGCUGGAUGAUGCUGGCAGUCAUCCCCAUCCCUAGAAAGUCUCAAAAUAGUUUUUCCAGGUCCUGAUGCUCAGGAUAAACCACCAGCAAUGUUAGCAGGGCAUUGUGCAGAGCAGCAGAUGCUGCAUCUUACUAGUCCACGUACCCCACAAAGCCAGUGUGUACUGGUAGAGCUGGUCCAGGAUGGAAGACUACCUCCAUGAUGCUCCUGCAGCACUUGCUGGCAGCCAAGCCCUGAGCAAUCCCCUUGCACGGGCUGAUGAUGGAUGGAGGAAGGGACUCAGAAUGAGGGGAGACAGAGCACUGACGGCAGGGACAGGACAGGACAGAGAAAGAGAUAUCAGGGCCAUGGAUGCUGACAGCCCCAAUACCCUUGGCUUCAGCUGUUUGCAACCGCAAAGCUCAGAGAGACCCCAAAGCCCACCUCAAGAAAGGAAACCGAGGCAGAGGAGAAACUUGGUGAGAAGAGAUUUGGUAAGAAGAGAUUUUUUAAUUGAACUCCAUUACAGCUGUUACAGGGUUCUUCUCAACUGCUGAGGAGUCUGGCCAGCACGGUACACGUGGUAAAUACACCAGCUACGAGGAUACAUGGGACGAGUUACUACAAGAUCUGUGCUUUUACCUGUACAGGAGGAUUUUGCCAGCACUCUGCCUGCCCACAUGGAAAACAGCUGCACCCCACGUGCUGCUGUGGCUCUGCCUGGCUUGUGCAGUGUCCCCUAGACCACCCAGCUGUGCUCUGUGCUCCUGUCAGCAAGAAGAAAGGUGGGGACAGGAGGGAGGCUGUGGGAGUUGCUCCAGGGAGGUGCUGGGGUUUGACAGGACCUGCCAGGGGCUGGGGAGGGGGCUGGGAGGUGAAGCGGGGGCUGUUUUGGACGGAUAGAAGUGAAUGGGCCAACGGACACCUAGGGAAGGUGCAAAUCAGUAGAGUAUGACCAGCUCCAGCUGCCCCCUCUGCUCUGCAUCAGUGUCAAGGGCAGGUACAGCCCCCAACCCCAGCACAGGCAGCAGAGCUGGAUGCUCAGGGAUGGGGGACUGCACACCCCUUGGACCCACAGCACUGCCAGCAUGGAGUGGUCAUCCUCUUGCAAAGCCCUCUGCCCUCAGCACCAGCCAUGCCCUCUGCCCCACUGCAGCCUCGACUCCCUCGACCCUUCCCUUUGUGACUUAAAACACUCUUGGGCUACCUCUGCACGCCCAAGCCAGCAACACUAUCCUGCUCCGAGCAGCAGGAUCCAGGUGGUUAGGAACCGAGUGGCGAGCCCAUCUAGGGAAAGGGGAUCACAGGCAGCAGUUCUGCCCUCCUUCUCCCACCACAUGGAGGCAAACUGCAAAGUGCUUGUGCUCACAACUAGAAUCGUAGAAUCACUAGGUUGGAAAAGACCUUUGAGAUCAACAAGCCCAACCACACCUGUCCACUACUAAAUCACAUCCCUGAAUACCUCAUCCACCCGUCUUUUAAACACUUCCAGGGAUAGGGACUCAACCACCUCCCUGCGCAGCCUCUGCCAGUGCCUGAGAAUGCUUUCAGUGAAGAAAUUUUUGCUCAUGUCCAACCUGAACCUGCCCUGGUGCAGCCUGAGGCCAUUCCUUCUCAUCCUAUUGCCUGCCACUUAGGAGAACAGACCAACACCCAUGUCGCUACACUUCUGGGCAAUUGCAGACAGUGAUGAGUUGUCCCCUUUGCCUCCUUUGCUCCAGGCUAAACAACCCCACAUCCCUCAGCCACUCCUCAUAACACUUGUUGUCCAGCCCCUUCACCAGCUCCAUUCUCUUCUCUGGACAUACUCCAGCCCCUCAAUGUCCUUUUUAUAGCGAGGGACCCAAAACUGAACCCAGGAUUUGACAUGUGGCCUCACUGAGCACAGGAAUUGAUCCCUUCCCUGUUCCCGCUGGCCACGCUGUUCCUGAUCCAAGCCACAGCUCAAAAGACAGGUGGGGUCCCUUCUCUUCCUUUCCGCUGGGUCCCCAGGGCAGCUAGAUAUGCUGGGGUGGGGAUGGCCACCCACCACCCAUAAGAAGUAAAAAAGUACAAAUCUGCCCUGCUCUCCAGUGAGAAUUGGUGUGCAGCACCAGGGGGAAAUGUGGCACAGGGCACUGUGGAACCUGUUUCAAACAGCAUUGGCAGGGCCACCAAUAAAUCUCCGACAGAAACAGAACUGCUCGGUUAUCAUUCCAUCUCCUCUCUCGGGGUGAAUUUUCUAUCAAUAGAAUAAAGCUUUUUGUUCCUUCUUAUUGACUUUGCCUCUUGUUGAUGCUGCAAAAAGAGAGGAGGA